GAUGAACGCUGGCGGCGUGCCUAAUACAUGCAAGUCGAGCGAACGGACGAGAAGCUUGCUUCUCUGAUGUUAGCGGCGGACGGGUGAGUAACACGUGGAUAACCUACCUAUAAGACUGGGAUAACUUCGGGAAACCGGAGCUAAUACCGGAUAAUAUUUUGAACCGCAUGGUUCAAAAGUGAAAGACGGUCUUGCUGUCACUUAUAGAUGGAUCCGCGCUGCAUUAGCUAGUUGGUAAGGUAACGGCUUACCAAGGCAACGAUGCAUAGCCGACCUGAGAGGGUGAUCGGCCACACUGGAACUGAGACACGGUCCAGACUCCUACGGGAGGCAGCAGUAGGGAAUCUUCCGCAAUGGGCGAAAGCCUGGCGGAGCAACGCCGCGUGAGUGAUGAAGGUCUUCGGAUCGUAAAACUCUGUUAUUAGGGAAGAACAUAUGUGUAAGUAACUGUGCACAUCUUGACGGUACCUAAUCAGAAAGCCACGGCUAACUACGUGCCAGCAGCCGCGGUAAUACGUAGGUGGCAAGCGUUAUCCGGAAUUAUUGGGCGUAAAGCGCGCGUAGGCGGUUUUUUAGUCUGAUGUGAAAGCCCACGGCUCAACCGUGGAGGGUCAUUGGAAACUGGAAAACUUGAGUGCAGAAGAGGAAAGUGGAAUUCCAUGUGUAGCGGUGAAAUGCGCAGAGAUAUGGAGGAACACCAGUGGCGAAGGCGACUUUCUGGUCUGUAACUGACGCUGAUGUGCGAAAGCGUGGGGAUCAAACAGGAUUAGAUACCCUGGUAGUCCACGCCGUAAACGAUGAGUGCUAAGUGUUAGGGGGUUUCCGCCCCUUAGUGCUGCAGCUAACGCAUUAAGCACUCCGCCUGGGGAGUACGACCGCAAGGUUGAAACUCAAAGGAAUUGACGGGGACCCGCACAAGCGGUGGAGCAUGUGGUUUAAUUCGAAGCAACGCGAAGAACCUUACCAAAUCUUGACAUCCUUUGACAACUCUAGAGAUAGAGCCUUCCCCUUCGGGGGACAAAGUGACAGGUGGUGCAUGGUUGUCGUCAGCUCGUGUCGUGAGAUGUUGGGUUAAGUCCCGCAACGAGCGCAACCCUUAAGCUUAGUUGCCAUCAUUAAGUUGGGCACUCUAAGUUGACUGCCGGUGACAAACCGGAGGAAGGUGGGGAUGACGUCAAAUCAUCAUGCCCCUUAUGAUUUGGGCUACACACGUGCUACAAUGGACAAUACAAAGGGCAGCGAAACCGCGAGGUCAAGCAAAUCCCAUAAAGUUGUUCUCAGUUCGGAUUGUAGUCUGCAACUCGACUACAUGAAGCUGGAAUCGCUAGUAAUCGUAGAUCAGCAUGCUACGGUGAAUACGUUCCCGGGUCU
rnacentral:rRNA from 1 species